GAAUUUGUGAUAUUUUGGCGGCCAUCCACUCUUUUCUAUAUCUGGGAUUACAGGAUGAAGCAAUGCAUCAAUUGCCUUUGCCAUCAAGUGCCCCUAAGGUGCAAUUAACUAACCUACUACUCUUCAUCUCAUCUAAUAAAUACUCCGUUGAGCUUAAUAUGUGCACAACAUCGACUCAACUGCUCUUUCAUUUUUUUUUUGGGUUUUAGCAAGAAACUUCGGACUCUUAGAGGGUAAAAGCUCUUGGUGUGGUUAUGUAGUAGUACUGGUAGAACAUGUUUUUUAGGAUAAACGAGGACUUAACAACUUUCCUUAUGGAAAAACACAAACGUGAUGAACCUUGCCAUCAACGCCAAUCCAGAAUUAGGGAAGUCUGAUACAUUGAAUGGUAAAAAAUUUAGCCACCCAAAUUUGCUUAAAAUGGAAUAGGGCUGGUUGGCACGUUAUAAACCGGAAUUGUCGUAAGCCCAUUACAGUACCCAAAGAGAAAAAACAAAAAGAAAGAAAAGAAAAACCUCUCUCACCCCACUGUAAUGGCUAUUGCUCUGAAAUCAACGGCCGACUUUCUCCACUUAAAGAAGCACAAUCUCGCUUCACUAUCUCGCCUUUCCUCCGGCAAGGCCUUUGUUUCAACCAAGAGAUUCACUCCAAUGGCUACUGUAACCACUGCUACAACUCUUGGCCUUGCUGACACUUUCUCUAAAUUGAAAACACAAGGCAAAGUUGCAUUAAUCCCAUACAUCACAGCUGGUGAUCCUGAUCUUUCAACAACAACUGAGGCACUUAAGGUGCUUGACUUAUGUGGCGCAGACAUAAUUGAACUAGGUGUACCAUAUUCUGAUCCUCUAGCUGAUGGUCCUGUAAUCCAGGCUGCGGCUACGCGUUCUUUGGCAAGAGGAACCAACUUCAAUGCUAUUCUUUCAAUGUUGAAGGAGGUGGUUCCAGAGUUAUCUUGUCCAAUUGCUUUAUUUACGUAUUACAACCCAAUUCUCAAGCGUGGGGUUGAGAAGUUUUUGUCCACUGUAAAGGAUGUAGGCAUACAUGGGCUUGUGGUUCCAGAUGUUCCUUUGGAGGAGACUGAAAUUUUGAGAAGAGAAGCUCUCAAAAACAAGAUCGAAUUGGUACUGCUUACAACACCGACUACACCAAUAGACCGAAUGAAAGCUAUUGUCGAAGCAUCAGAAGGAUUCGUGUAUCUUGUGAGCUCAAUUGGAGUUACUGGUGCCCGUGCAUCUGUAAGUGAUCGGGUUCAGACUCUUAUUGGAGAAAUUAAAGAGAUUGCAAUUACAAGUCAGUUCAUCUCACAUAAAUUCUGAAGACAUGAGGCAACAACCAAGCCUGUUGCAGUAGGGUUUGGCAUAUCAAAACCUGAGCAUGUGAAGCAGGUAGCAGGAUGGGGAGCGGAUGGUGUGAUUGUUGGCAGUGCCAUGGUCAAGCUGCUGGGUGAAGCAGAAUCUCCCGAGGACGGAUUGAAGGCGCUGGAAAUUUUUACCAAAUCUUUGAAAUCUGCACUUGCUUGACUCUUUGAAUGGGAUUAAGUCAGACUCCCGACAUUUUGUUCUCAAUUAUGGUUUUCAGUGGAAAUAAUGUUAAAUCUUUGUUUUGAAAGUAUAGAUAUUUAAUUUAUAUAAAUUAUAAUUGAUGAAUUAGGUCAAUCCCAAAGGAAGCUACUUCACUUUUGGACAA